UCACCCGAAUAUAUAUUAAUUUU
rnacentral:snRNA from 1 species